rnacentral:rRNA from 1 species
UGGGGAAUCUUCCGCAAUGGGCGAAAGCCUGACGGAGCAACGCCGCGUGAGUGAAGACGGCCUUCGGGUUGUAAAGCUCUGUUAUACGGGACGAAUAGUCUUGUGGUUAAUACCCAUAAGAAGUGACGGUACCGUAAGAGAAAGCCACGGCUAACUACGUGCCAGCAGCCGCGGUAAUACGUAGGUGGCAAGCGUUGUCCGGAAUUAUUGGGCGUAAAGGGCGCGCAGGCGGCUUCUUAAGUCUGUCUUAAAAGUGCGGGGCUUAACCCCGUGAUGGGAUGGAAACUGGGAAGCUCAGAGUAUCGGAGAGGAAAGCGGAAUUCCUAGUGUAGCGGUGAAAUGCGUAGAUAUUAGGAGGAACACCAGUGGCGAAAGCGGCUUUCUGGACGAAAACUGACGCUGAGGCGCGAAAGCCAGGGGAGCGAACGGGAUUAGAUACCCCGGUAGUCCUGGCCGUAAACGAUGGGUACUAGGUGUAGGAGGUAUCGACCCCUUCUGUGCCGGAGUUAACGCAAUAAGUACCCCGCCUGGGGAGUACGGCCGCAAGGUUG